rfam:Glycine max cultivar Williams 82 chromosome 14, whole genome shotgun sequence.
GGAGUGAUUUGCAGCCAAGAAUGACUUGCCGGAAUGCAUAUAUAUGCAUUAGGUACCAACAUAUAUAGUUGUAUUGUAUAAUUUCGGGCAAGUUGUUUUUGGCUACAUUUAUCUCUCU